rnacentral:lncRNA from 1 species
UUUUUUUUUUCUUGUAUUCCGUAUGUAUUGUUCGUUAUCAAUUCGGCCUAACAAAUCUUACUAUUGGGAUUUCGAGGAUGUUUCGAAUUAAUUGAUAUAAUCAAUCUUGUACAUUUGUUUCAACAAUAUUGGUUUCUACUUUUGAAUGUUAGGAAGAAAAAAUGGAUUUGAUGGAGAAAGAACAAAUUGAUAAUCUCUAUCUUUUAAAAGGUUAUUCGACUAUCAGAAAUAUUCUUGGUGUAAAAAAAAGGGGUGCAUGAAAUGAUAGUAAUGAAUAUAUAAAACAAAUUAUACAACAAAAUGUACAACUAAAAAAGAGAAAAAGUAAUGAAGAAAUUGAAUUUGAAAUAUAAUAAAUGAUAGAAUAAUAUAAAAGAGAUAAACACAAAAAUAAUAAUGUCGGGUUUGAUCUUCCUUCCAAAUAUUUGUUCUAAUUAAUGAGAUCAUAUAAACAACCUUACCCAGCACAGUAAAGAAAUAUAAGAAAGUAAAAAUCCUUGCAGAGGAAGAAUUUCAUUUGGCAAACAGAAUCCAUGAGAAAGGAAAGAUAGAAAUAAAUUCAGUUCUCAUAAUGUCGAACUCACCUACCCAUCGGGUCAAGUGGCAUAAAUAGAUAUAAAGGAUGUGUUCUACAUCGGGUCAUGUCUCAAUAAUGUUCGUUAUAAGGGGGCUGUUAGGAAAACGGAGAAAAAGGAGACAAACUUUUUGCCAAGGACAUAAAAGUAAUUGGAAUAGCUAUCGAAUUUGUAUGUACAUAAUAAUUUAUUUAACUAAUGUAGUAUUGUAUAAGACCAAUAAUAGCUCCAUGUGUCAGCGUAUUAUCCUUUUAUAAUUGUAUUAUAUAAACCUUUUAUAUAAAAUUCAUCCAGAAUACUGAGAAGUCAAAACAAUAAUUAAGUGAAAAAUUAUUUUAAUCAAGAAUUAAACUAAUUAAAUAAUUUAAUAUUAAUUUCAAUACAUUAAUUAUUUGUGCUCAAAGUAACGAAUAAUUAACAUUUUUAAAUAAAUAAAAGAAAGCAUAAAUAUCUUAUGCAAUUCCACUUUUUUUCUUAUAUAUUUUUUUAAAAUAGUUCAUGUAAAUAUCUUCUAUAAUUUAUUCAUUCUUUGGUUUUAAUUUCCAUAAUACUUAGGUCCUUUAAAAUUAAUCCCUAAGAAAAAAAUUGAUAGAAACUAAAAGUAAAUUAUCCAAAAAAUUAAAAAAAAAACAUCUUAUAAAGACUAAAAUAAAAUAACAAAAAAUAAAAAUAUUACAAGAACAUUUAAAAUAAUUACGUGGAUGAAAAAACAUACUCCCUUGGAUAAAUAUGUUGCAACAUGUACAUAAUAUUAGAAAAUAAAUUUUUAAUAUCGCUUGAUUAAUGUUGUGAAAUUGUUGUUGAAAGAGGAGGAUUUACAACUCCUUUUUAUUGUUGUGAAAUUGUUCUGAUUAUAAUUUUGGUGUUUAUACAGUAUGGGCAUUUGAUACAUGCAGAGACCAGGUGUUGGUCACUCAUGGAGGCGAAGGGGGACAUACCAGUAGGAAAUUUUGUUUCAUAACUGUGCAAAUGCUGCAGCGAUAGAAAUUGCUCUUGUGCAUUGUUAUUAUUGAUAUGCUAGGAACUGUGAUAUUGUAUUACAUAUUUUUGCUUCAUCAUAUUAUUAAAUCUUGAUAAUAAUUAUUGAUUAAUUAAAAUGUCAAAAAAAAAGAACCAGGUCAUGGAUUAUGAUUGAUGACUUCCCAGCUGUGGGUGGAAAUGCUCUGUAUCUUGAUCAAAUUGAUAUUUUCACACUUGACCAGCAUGUAAUUCUCAUAAUACAUUUGAAUUUGUUUGUCAGAAAGUCAAGACUCAAUAACAUUAAUAAUUGCAGAUAAAAAUGAUGUACCCACAUAGCCUGUGAUUGCACAUUUACCAUAGAACUAACAUAUCAUCCUUUGCUUUCUUUAAUUUUCAUAUAUAUGUGACACUAAUAAUUCAAAAAACAUGUUUUAAUAUUGUUUGGUGGUGAGGAUGCAAAAAGGAAAAUUUGAAUGAUUUACAUGUUUGAUCUCCAAUAUCCUGAUGUUAUGUUGCCUUUGAAACUAUAUAACAACACCUCCAAGAUUAAACCAUGGAGCUGCUCUUUAUAUAUUUGGAGGAUUAUCAAAAUCCAGGACCUUAAAUAUGAUUUAUAUUCACUUGACUUUGAAAUCAUGAGUGAGCUCUGUCGGUCCAGAUGUGUCUAUGGUCUAUACUGCAAUAACAUGGAACUGAAAAAUAAUUGAUCACACACUCAUAUUGAUAACCCUUUGGUUAUUCUUCCUUUGAGAUAUAUACUCAACACUAAGGGAUUUUAAUUACCAUGACUAUAUGCAGUUGGUCUGUGAUCCAUUUGACAUAUGCAUUUUCAGCAAAACCCUCAUUCUAGACCAUGAACCACAUCUAGAAUUGAUUUUCUUGAUAAAACAUGCACUCCUAUUCAUGCAGAAUAUGACUCUACUUUUUUUUUUAGAUGAUACUCUGUAUCCCCUCAUAUUUGGUCUUGCAAAAAGCAUGUCCUCAAAAAUAUGAAAGGUAUGUGCCUGCCGUAUGCUAAGUACCAUACAACUUUGCAGGAUUAAAAAUAUAUUUAAGUUAUUUAUUGUAAAUUUUUUUACUAUAAUACUUAAUUUUUAAAAAAUUAAUUAUUAUUUUAUCGUUCAAAAUUAUAUAUGUAAUACAGACAAAUAUGUCAAUGUUAUCUUGUUUCUCAUUAGUCCAAGUCUUGUUUCUCAAUGGAAGAAUUUUAAACGUAACCAAAUUGAAAUAGAUAUAAAUAUAAUAUAUGAGAAGUUUUUAUGCAUUAUACUAUGAGGACUUUAUUUUGUCUGAUAAAAAUCAUAAUGAGUAAAUUACGUGAUUAUAUAAGAAGUUGGAUUAAAUAUAAAAUAUUAUUUAAUUAUCUUUUCAUCAAAUAUUAUUGAAGAUACUCUAUAAAUAUUGUAUAAUUUUUCAAUAAAUAUACAAAGAGACAGAGAGAAAGCAUUUGUUUUUAUUUAUUAUUAAAUUGGCUUCACAACCCCUUGCAAACGUAGCAGGUUACAAACCAAAAUGCAUUCAUGUGAUAUAGUGCCAUACAACUGUCUAAAAACACAAUAAUAAAAAUUCAUAAACAAUACAAACGAAGAAGAAAAGGAUGGACACUUCUUUCUUCUUAUGUGACAAAAUGCGCGGAAACUUUGCUUCCGUUGUUUUCCUUGUGUAAUUGCGAAGUGCAUCUUCCUGCUAUCAACAACGUUCUUUAUUGGCUUAUAUUCUUCAUUAAUAACCUACAAAAGUACGCGCACAUGGUUAGAAUAAUAUUCUAACAGUCCCUUUCAUUAAGUAUCCCCUCAAUAAUAUCAAAAAAUGAGAAAAUAACUUUCUCUUAAACAUUACUAAUACAGGCUAAAAUGUUUUUGUUUGGGUUAUGAAGAAUUUUUUUUACAACUAAAGUUUUUUCCUUUAAUUUUGGAAGUAUAUUUUUAAAAUAUGUAUACACAGAAAAAAAUUAUUCUUGAAUACUCCUUAGUUAUAUGUUUUUACAUAAAAAUAGCAAUGGUCAUAUACUUCUCAAAAUUUCAAUAAAAUAGAAAAAGGGAAGUUGAAAACGUCAUGAUUACUUUAUAAAUGAAAUAAAAAUUAUAUCAACCGCAAACCUUUUCUAUCAACAGUCAAAAACCUUUGAAAGUUUGAAAUUUUAAAAAUAGAAAAUAAAAAGAAGAAAAUACAACGGUUCUCUUCAAUCGAACAAAAUAAGAAUGUUAACAUCAUACUUCUCAUUUUAGUUUACUUUCUAAACUGUCUACAUAGGUCGAGUAGUUAUUUAAUGACUUCUAUGUUUUUUUUUUAUUUGACAAGUGCUACGAACAUAAUUUUUAAACAUAUUUUUUAAUUGAUUAUUUUUUAAAAAAUUAUAAAAUUAGAAGACAGAGAAUUAUUAAUUAUUAUGUAGGACUCAAAAUAUUUUAUUGUUUUUUUUUUAAAUUAACCAAUAAAAAAGAGUGUGUUGAAUGAAUAUAUUAAAGAGUGUGUUUCUAUUUUCUUUUUAUUGUUCGUGAAAACUUAAUGACUUGCAUGUGACUGCAUGUAAAGAGCAUUUAAAAUGUAAGUUGGUACAUAAUUUUAUGAUAAUGCAGGUUUUAUGAAG